GACGAACGCUGGCGGCGUGCUUAGCACAUGCAAGUCGAAUGGUGAAGCGCCUUCCUUUUUGGUGGGUGUGGAUGAGUGGCGAACGGGUGAGUAACACGUGAGUAACCUGCCCCCUUCUUCUGGAUAACCGCAUGAAAGUGUGGCUAAUACGGGAUAUUCUGGGUCUGUCGCAUGAUGGGUCUGGGAAAGAUAUUGUUUCGGUGGGGGAUGGGCUCGCGGCCUAUCAGCUUGUUGGUGGGGUGAUGGCCUACCAAGGCGGUGACGGGUAGCCGGCCUGAGAGGGUGGACGGUCACACUGGGACUGAGACACGGCCCAGACUCCUACGGGAGGCAGCAGUGGGGAAUAUUGCACAAUGGGCGCAAGCCUGAUGCAGCGACGCCGCGUGAGGGAUGGAGGCCUUUGGGUUGUGAACCUCUUUCGCCAGUGAAGCAGGCCUGCCUCGUUUGUGGGUGGGUUGACGGUAGCUGGAUAAGAAGCGCCGGCUAACUACGUG
rnacentral:rRNA from 1 species